rnacentral:rRNA from 1 species
AUGAACCCAUGUGAAGGUAGAGCACUGAAUGUGUGAUGGCCCCAUCCCGGGGUACUGAAUACAAUCAAACUCCGAAUGUCAUGUGGGAUGUCCGGCAGUCAGACUGUGAGUGAUAAGGUCCAUGGUCGAGAGGGAAACAGCCCAGACCGCCAGUUAAGGUCCCAAAAUGCAGGCUAAGUGGAAAAGGAUGUGGGGAUGCCCAGACAACUAGGAGGUUGGCUCAGAAGCAGCCACCCUUUAAAGAGUGCGUAACAGCUCACUAGUCGAGUGACCCUGCGCCGAAAAUGUACCGGGGCUAAGCCUGAUACCGAAACUGCGGAAUCGAAUGAUUGGUAGGGGAGCGUUGUAUACGGGUGGAAGCCGUACCGUGAGGAGCGGUGGACUGUAUAGAAGUGAGAAUGCCGGUGUGAGUAGCGAGAUGUAGGUGAGAAUCCUACACACCGAAAGCCCAAGGAUUCCAGGGGAAGGUUCGUCCGCCCUGGGUAAGUCGGGACCUAACGCGAGGCCGAAAGGCGUAGUGGAUGGAAAGCAGGCGGAGAUUCCUGCACCCGUAUGUGGAGCGAUGGAGUGACGGAGACGGCUAAUGUGACCCUCUUAACGGAUUGAGGGCGAAGCGGGGUAGCGGUCGACCAGGCAAAUCCGGUCGGCAAAACGCGAAGACGUGACAGGGAAGCGAACGCUUUGGCAAGUAGCGAAGCACAUGAGGCCGGCUUCCAAGAAAAGCUUCUGGCAAUGCACAUGCGGCCCGUACCAAAACCGACACAGGUGGGCAGGUAGAGGAUACCAAGGUGAGCGAGAGAACUGUUGCCAAGGAACUCGGCAAAAUGGCUCCGUACGUUCGCAAGAAGGAGCGCUUAUGAAAAUAAGCCGCAGUGAAUAGGCCCAAGCGACUGUUUAACUAAAACACAGCUCUCUGCGAAGUCGCAAGACGAAGUAUAGGGGGUGACACCUGCCCGGUGCCGGAAGGUUAAGAGGAUCUGUCAAUCGCAAGAUGAAGCAGUGAGUUGAAGCCCCGGUGAACGGCGGCCGUAACUAUAACGGUCCUAAGGUAGCGAAAUUCCUUGUCAGGUAAGUUCUGACCCGCACGAAAGGUGUAACGAUUUGGGCGCUGUCUCGGCAGCAGGCUCGGUGAAAUCUUAGUACCUGUGAAAAUGCAGGUUACCCGCAACUAGACGGAGAGACCCCAUGGAGCUUUACUGUAGCCUGGUAUUGGAUUUUGGUCAGACAUGUACAGGAUAGGUGGGAGACUGUGAGACGUGCACGCCAGUGUACGAGGAGUCGUCGUUGGGAUACCACUCUUGUGUGAUCGGAGUUCUAACCUGUGGCUCUGAACCGGCCUAGGGAGAGUGCCAGGUGGGCAGUUUGACUGGGGCGGUCGCCUCCCAAAGAGUAACGGAGGCGCCCAAAGGUACGCUCAGAUUGGAUGGAAACCAAUCGCCGAGUGCAAAUGCAGAAGCGUGCUUGACUGUGAGAGCAACAACUCGAACAGGGACGAAAGUCGGGAUUAGUGAUCCGGCGGUGCCGAAUGGAAGGGCCGUCGCUCAACGGAUAAAAGCUACCCUGGGGAUAACAGGCUGAUCUCGCCCAAGAGUUCACAUCGACGGCGAGGUUUGGCACCUCGAUGUCGGCUCAUCGCAUCCUGGAGCUGGAUUCGGUUCCAAGGGUUGGGCUGUCCGCCCAUUAAAGCGGUACGCGAGCUGGGUUCAGAACGUCGUGAGACAGUUCGGUCCCUAUCUGUUGUGGGCGAAGGAGAUUUGAGGAGAGCUGCCCUUAGUACGAGAGGACCGGGGUGGACCUACCGCUGGUGCACCAGUUGUAUCGCCAGAUGCAUAGCUGGGUAGCUAAGUAGGGAAGGGAUAAGCGCUGAAAGCAUCUAAGCACGAAGCCUACUCCAAGAUGAGAUCUCCCAUUCGCAAGAAGUAAGACCCCUUGAAGACGACGAGGUAGAUAGGCCAGGGAUGGAAGUGCAGCGAUGCAUGGAGUUGACUGGUACUAAUCGGUCGAGGACUUAAUCAG